rnacentral:rRNA from 1 species
UACGAAGGGGGGCUAGCGUUGCUCGGAAUUACUGGGCGUAAAGGGCCAGUAGGCGGCCAACUAAGUCCGACGUGAAAUCCCCAGGCUUAACCUGGGAACUGCGUCGGAUACUGGAUGGCUUGAAUUCGGGAGAGGGAUGCAGAAUUCCAGGUGUAGCGGUGAAAUGCGUAGAUAUCUGGAGGAAUACCGGUGGCGAAGGCGGCAUCCUGGACCGAGAUUGACGCUGAACGGCGAAAGCUAGGGGAGCGAAACGGG